rnacentral:rRNA from 1 species
UACGGAGGGAGCUAGCGUUGUUCGGAAUUACUGGGCGUAAAGCGCACGUAGGCGGCUAUUCAAGUCAGAGGUGAAAGCCUGGAGCUCAACUCCAGAACUGCCUUUGAAACUAGAUAGCUUGAAUCCAGGAGAGGUGAGUGGAAUUCCGAGUGUAGAGGUGAAAUUCGUAGAUAUUCGGAAGAACACCAGUGGCGAAGGCGGCUCACUGGACUGGUAUUGACGCUGAGGUGCGAGAGCGUGGGGAGCAAACAGG